GACAGAGGGUGCAAACGUUGUUCGGAAUUACUGGGCGUAAAGCGAGUGUAGGCGGUCUGCUAAGUCGGGUGUGAAAGCCCUGGGCUCAACCCAGGAAGUGCACUCGAAACUGGCAGGCUAGAGUACUGGAGAGGUUGGUGGAAUUCUCGGUGUAGAGGUGAAAUGCGUAGAUAUCUGGAGGAAUACCGGUGGCGAAGGCGGCAUCCUGGACCAUUACUGACGCUGAGGCGCGAAAGCUAGGGGAGCAAACGGG
rnacentral:rRNA from 1 species